AUGCAACACUUCCGCGGUGAUUGCCCCUUCUCCCGCCUAGUGUGGCAUGAGAUUCUCUCAUGGUGUAGACUUCCUACCUCCAUCCCCUCCAGAGAUGUCCCAUUCCUCAACUGGUGGGCGGCCUCCUUCCUCUUGACUCCCAUGGCUAUGCACAAGGGAUUCACCUCCAUUGUCUCCCUCACCGCAUGGUGGGUGUGGAAGCAUAGGAACAGCUGCUCCUUCGAUGGCCGGAGCCCCUCCAUCAGCAUUAUGACUGACGCCAUCCGUGACGAGGCACGUCUGUGGGCCAGAGUAGGGCCGACCGGCUUGCUAGGCAUCCUGCCCUGA
rnacentral:rRNA from 1 species